UACGGAGGGUGCAAGCGUUAAUCGGAAUUACUGGGCGUAAAGCGUACGUAGGCGGCUUGUUAAGCAAGAUGUGAAAGCCCCGGGCUCAACCUGGGAAUGGCAUUUUUGAACUGGCGGGCUCGAGUUCUGAAGAGGGUGGUAGGAAUUUCCUGUGUAGCGGUGAAAUGCGUAGAUAUAGGAAGGAAUACCGGUGGCGAAGGCGGCCACCUGGUCAGAAACUGACGCUGAGGUACGAAAGCGUGGGGAGCAAACAGG
rnacentral:rRNA from 1 species